UACGUAGAGGGCUAGCGUUGUCCGGAAUCAUUGGGCGUAAAGAGCGUGUAGGCGGCUUGGUAAGUCCGCUGUGAAAGUCCAGGGCUUAACCCUGGAAAGCCAGUGGAAACUGCCAAGCUAGAGUCCGGAAGAGGUGAGUGGAACUCCUGGUGUAGCGGUGAAAUGCGCAGAUAUCGGGAAGAACACCAGUGGCGAAGGCGACUUACUGGACUGUAACUGACGCUGAGGCAUGAAAGCGUGGGGAGCAAACAGG
rnacentral:rRNA from 1 species